rnacentral:misc_RNA from 1 species
UUUGAUCGCAUAUGCAAAGUCUAGAUUCGUAUUCGUAGUUAUAUGAGGUUUACUUUUAUUACAAGUGUUAAUUUUGUUGAAUCGAAAGUUUUGUUAGUUUUCAUAUAGAAAUUUAAAUAAGUAGUGUUAAUUCAGUGAAAGUCGUAAGCCUACCUUAAGCAUUAGUUGAAGUGAUUCCCUUUCUUAAUGAAAAAAUUUAGUGAUUAACUUCUAGGUGAAGAGACAAAAUAAUAACUUUGUUUUCCAUUGGCAGAAGACAAAACGCCUUACUCAAAGGAAAGAAGGAUGAAAGAAAACUCCCAACUAUUGUUACAUUCGUAAUCUUUUUAAAUGGUUGUUAAUGGGGGAUGUUUUCAUAGCCUGGUUAUUCCCUACAAUAAUCAUGUCGAUUUGACAAAUUUUACAAGCAUGGCAGGGAAAGCAGUUCUAAUUUGUAGGCCGAAUUCCCAUCCCUUUGUGGAUCGAACAUUGUCCCUUGAGCAGCCAGUGAAAAUUGGCAGAUCUGUCGCUAGAGCUCGGGCCGCCCAGAGUAAUGGCAUAUUUGAUUGUAAAGUGCUGUCACGCAAUCAUGCUCUUAUUUGGUACAACAACGGAAAGUUCUAUCUGCAAGACACAAAGAGCAGCAAUGGAACUUUCAUCAAUAAUCAGAGGCUCAGCAAAUCUGGUGAAGAGUCUGUACCUAGGGAGGUCAGCUCCGGAGACAUUGUGCAGUUUGGAGUCGACGUUUUGGAAAAUUCUCGUAAAGUAACUCAUGGCUGUAUUGUUGCGAAUUUGAAACUCUAUCUGCCUGAUGGCAAGGAAGCCAAAGCCAGUCCAUCGAGUUCAGUUUUGAGUGGUGUAGGAUCAGUGGCAGUUGAAGACUUGUAUCAGCUUAAUCAAUACAUUCAGGAGGGUCUUCAGCGAGAGCAGAUGCUACAGACUAAGUUGGCCUCCUUACAGCAGCUGUUGUUGUCCCUCCGUCAGUCCGUAGACCUUGGUUGGAAGGCUCUCAUUGCAGAAGACCGACUGUUAUCGCGUGUUGAGAUUCUUGAGAACCAACUCCAGACAUAUGCAAAGAAUUUUACCGAGGACAAACUGCGAGAUGAGUUGAGGAAUCUUCAAAAAGAUAAGUGUGUCUACCAAGACCUUGCAAAAGAGUGUCUUCAGAAGGUCUUACAAGAGAAAUUAGAAGUGGUCCAGAGGUGUCAAGACAUAGAAAGAGAAUUGCGAAAUGCUGAGACGGAAUGUGCUAACUUCAAAGAGAUAAUGGAGAAAGAUCACGAAGAGCUUCAAGAGCUCGCUUUAAAACACAAUGCUCAAGUUCUCAAGGCAGUGGAGCUGCAGAAUAAGCUUCAGGACGCAGAAGAGCAAAAGAAGGACGCCCUAGCCAUACUAGAAGCGGAGAAUGAAGAGCUAAACAAUGAGGUGAAGAGGCUACUAGCUAACGAAGCCGUCAUGCAUGAGAAGAUCCAACAACUGGAGGCUUCUGGAGAGAUUGUGGGGCGGCAGCUACUCGGCAUACAGUCUCAGUUCCAGUUCAAACGUUCCCCUGAUAUCCACAAACACCUCUCUUCACUGAAGGAGAGAAAUGGUAGCACUGAAGAUGUGAUUUGUAAAAACAACGAUGAAGAGUUAAAUGACGAAAACCAGAAAGACGUAACAACAAACUCAAUGGAUACCCUGAUGAACCGACUGACACUGUCUAUUAACGAACAAAAGAAAACCAAAGAAGUUGUGGACUUGAUUGAAGCUCAAGUUUCACUACUUCAAAGUGACAAAAUGACCAAAUUGCAGCAGAUAAAUUCUUUAGAAGCUGAACUAGAAGUGCACAUAGACAAACUAAUGAACUAUAAAGAAGAGCAUAAGAAACUGGAACAGUCGUUAUUAUCCUUAGAAAAGUCUGCGAAAGAAGAGUCUCUGAACAAAACAGAUUCAUCGGCGAUGGAUAAUCAAAUUAAUUGUGAUGAUCUACUACCCAAUGGAUCACACAGCUCAGAGAAAGAAGCGCUACAGUCACAGAUGGAAGAGCUGAAAGAUAUGAUUUAUCAUAUGCAAAUUGAAGUUUCGUACCAUAACUGCAAGAGUGAAGUACUAACAGAGACGAUGAAAGAAUCAAGGAGUAAGAUGGGUGCCAUGGAACAGACUAUUGCCCUACUACAAAUAGAUUUAAACAAUGCCAAAAAAAGUCUUAACGAUAUUACGAAAAACUGGCUUCUUCAUGAAGAAAAACUGCAUGCAGCCCAGAAUUUGAAAGAUGAAACAGAAACAUCUGUUCAUAUGCUACGGGAGCAGCUGAACGCACUAGAAAACUCGAUAUUGCAUUUAAAAGAUCAAGAGAAGUUUGAGGUGGAGUCCGUCAACAAACACAAAGAAGAAACUACUUUACUCAGAAAGCAACUGCAGGAGGCCCAGCAAACUGCAAAGCAGUGUAAAAAUGAGGCCGAGCUGGUAAAGGAAAAGUUGCGGGUAGUCUCUCAAGAACUUGAAGUAUCAAAGUCGAUAACGGAAAGAAACAAUGUAGCGACAGAGACACAGCUCGAUAACAGGGCUGCAGAGGAGUUGGCGGCAGCCAGGCUAGAGGCUGCAACACUCCAGGCACAAGUAUUGGGAUUGGAAUCACAAAUCAAAAAACUGAGGCUGGAGAGCAAUCAGAAACAACAAGAACUGGCUGAAAACAAUGAUGCGGGGACCACUUCUGACACGAUCAUCGAACAAUUACAGCUGAGGGUGAGGGAAAUGGAGGAGGAGCUGGUUUUAGUUAAGGAGAAGUACAUGGCUUUCAAUGAGAAGAACGUUAAGCUCGAGAAAGAGUUGACUGACCUAAAGCAAGACUAUGAAGCUGUUGUUCAUCAGCCUUACUUUGUGAACCAACAGUACAUAGUGGGUGUACUGGUCACUCUUCUCGUCGCUAUCCUUAUUUCUCUGGGUCUAUAUCCUUCCAGUUAACCCUGUCAUACAUAUCCGUCAUACAUUUGCUUGUUAGCAAAAUUAUAAAUCAAACGUAUAUAAACAUAUCACUAAUUAUAUUACAGAAUAUAUUAAUUUAAGUUUUAAAAAGUUAACGUUAGAGUUUGAAAGACAUGUACAUUUAGAUAUAUUUACAAAUAACAAAAUAAUGAAGAACGUUAUUCAAGAAUAUUAUUUUGUAUUCAAUGUGAUAUUAUUUACAUUAUAUUUGAAAUUUAUUGAUGCUUUCUUGAUUAUGUUUAUCAUUCCUGUGACCAGUUCCAUAAUUCCAUUGGACUCUGGUGAUUUUACAAACUUUAAUAUUAUUCAGGUAUUUUAAUAGUCCAGUUGGGUUUAAACUCAACAUGGUAAUUUAGAAAUUGAACUGAUUUUAAAUCCAAAUACAGAGGAUCACACAAUUAGAAAUUUGAUAAAAGAUGAUGUAAUUUAAUUAUUAAAUUUGUACAUCUAUUAAACUUUAAUUCACAUUUUAUUCACAGUCAAUAACUAGGUAUUUCCUAUCUUUCCAGUAUCCUUUCUUUGGCCCAUACCAACAAUCUACUCUUAAGAAUGUGGUAUUCGUGCUUCCACUGCUAGUUUUGUUCAUUGCGAUGACGAUCGCCUUUCAUCCCACUCUUGCUCGCCUCAUGGGCACCAUCGACUCUUCUCUGCCAAA